rnacentral:rRNA from 1 species
CGAACGCUGGCGGCGCGCUUAACGACGAUGACAAGUCGAGCGCUUGUAGCAAUACAGGAGCGGCGAACGGGUGCGUAACACGUGGAUAAUCUGCCUCGAGGUCCGGAAUAACCAGCCGAAAGGUUGGCUAAUACCAGGUAAGCCCCCGGGUGCUUCGGCGCCUGAGGGAAAAGGAGCAAUCCGCCACGAGAUGAGUCCGCGGCCCAUCAGCUAGUUGGCGGGGUAACGGCCCACCAAGGCAACGACGGGUAGCUGGUCUGAGAGGACGGCCAGCCACACUGGAACUGAGACACGGUCCAGACUCCUACGGGAGGCAGCAGUGGGGAAUCUUGCGCAAUGGGCGAAAGCCUGACGCAGCGACGCCGCGUGUGCGAUGAAGGUCUUCGGAUCGUAAAGCACUGUCGCGAGGGAAAAAGCCAGUGAUGGUACCUCGAGAGGAAGCACCGGCUAACUCUGCGCCAGCAGCCGCGGUAAUCUGAUG